GUUUUUUCCAUUACUGAAAAUAUUACAUUCAUCUCAUCAAGGAAGCUGAAGCAAUUUGCAACACUGUGUUAAGAAGGUUGCAUGUCUCACUCAUGUAGCAGCUAAUUACCUUAAUUGCAAAAUUGAAGCAAAAUGCUGGGGUACUGCUCAUGGAAUUAUUGUUCCAUAUGAGGCAUUUAAGACCAAGGAUGGCUACAUUGUGGUGGGAGCUGGAAAUGAUCAUCAGUUUGUCAAUGUGUGCAAGGU